UGGGGAAUAUUGCACAAUGGGCGCAAGCCUGAUGCAGCCAUGCCGCGUGUGUGAAGAAGGCCUUCGGGUUGUAAAGCACUUUCAGCGGGGAGGAAGGCGGUGAGGUUAAUAACCUCACCGAUUGACGUUACCCGCAGAAGAAGCACCGGCUAACUCCGUGCCAGCAGCCGCGGUAAUACGGAGGGUGCAAGCGUUAAUCGGAAUUACUGGGCGUAAAGCGCACGCAGGCGGUCUGUCAAGUCGGAUGUGAAAUCCCCAGGCUCAACCUGGGAACUGCAUUCGAAACUGGCAGGCUAGAGUCUUGUAGAGGGGGGUAGAAUUCCAGGUGUAGCGGUGAAAUGCGUAGAGAUCUGGAGGAAUACCGGUGGCGAAGGCGGCCCCCUGGACAAAGACUGACGCUCAGGUGCGAAAGCGUGGGGAGCAAACAGG
rnacentral:rRNA from 1 species